rnacentral:rRNA from 1 species
GACGAACGCUGGCGGCGUGCCUAAUACAUGCAAGUUGAGCGCUGAAGGUUGGUACUUGUACCGACUGGAUGAGCAGCGAACGGGUGAGUAACGCGUGGGUAAUCUGCCUUUGAGCGGGGGACAACAUUUGGAAACGAAUGCUAAUACCGCAUAAAAACUUUAAACACAAGUUUUAAGUUUGAAAGAUGCAAUUGCAUCACUCAAAGAUGAUCCCGCGUUGUAUUAGCUAGUUGGUGAGGUAAAGGCUCACCAAGGCGAUGAUAGAUAGCCGAACUGAGAGGGUGAUCGGCCAAAUUGGGAAUGAGACACGGCCCAAACUCCUACGGGAGGCAGCAGGAGGGAAUCUUCGGCAAUGGACGAAAGUCUGACCGAGCAACGCCGCGUGAGUGAAGAAGGUUUUCGGAUCGUAAAACUCUGUUGGUAGAGAAGAACGUUGGUGAGAGUGGAAAGCUCAUCAAGUGACGGUAACUACCCAGAAAGGGACGGCUAACUACGUG